rnacentral:rRNA from 1 species
UACGUAGGGUGCGAGCGUUGUCCGGAAUUAUUGGGCGUAAAGAGCUCGUAGGCGGUUUGUCGCGUCGGCCGUGAAAACUUGGGGCUUAACCCCAAGCCUGCGGUCGAUACGGGCAGACUUGCGUUCGGCAGGGGAGACUGGAAUUCCUGGUGUAGCGGUGAAAUGCGCAGAUAUCAGGAGGAACACCGGUGGCGAAGGCGGUUCUCUGGGCAUGAUCUGACGCUGAGGAGCGAAAGUGUGGGGAGCGAACAGG